rnacentral:rRNA from 1 species
GACGAACGCUGGCGGCGUGCUUAACACAUGCAAGUCGAACGCUUAAGCCCUGGCUUUUGUUGGGUUGGAUGAGUGGCGAACGGGUGAGUAACACGUGAGUAACCUGCCCUCUUCUUUGGGAUAACGCCCGGAAACGGGUGCUAAUACUGGAUAUUCACUGAUCUUCGCAUGGGGGUUGGUGGAAAGGUUUGUUCUGGUGGGGGAUGGGCUCGCGGCCUAUCAGCUUGUUGGUGGGGUGAUGGCCUACCAAGGCUUUGACGGGUAGCCGGCCUGAGAGGGUGACCGGUGACAUUGGGACUGAGAAACGGCCCAGACUCCUACGGGAGGCAGCAGUGGGGAAUAGUGCACAAUGGGCGAAAGCCUGAUGCAGCGACGACGCGUGAGGGAUGGAGGCCUUCGGGUUGUAAACCUCUUUCGCUCAUGGUCAAGCCGCAACUGUGGGUUGUGGUGAGGGUAGUGGUUAAAGAAGCGCCGGCUAACUACGUG